CCUUAAACAAAUAAUGUUGGUUCUAAUGGAAAUUAGCCAUUAGAGGUAACGGGGAAAGUUUGGUGUAAUUCCAACACUGUCCCGCAGCUGUGAUGAGGUCAGUUAAAUGAAAUCUUGUUUCAUUUAAUCUCUAGAUCAAAAUCUCUGAGUCAGAAUGCCCGCCAACAAAAACAUAACUUA
rfam:Mastigocoleus testarum BC008 Contig-1, whole genome shotgun sequence.